rnacentral:lncRNA from 1 species
CUAAGAAAGCUGUUUGAUUUAACCCGUGGUUUCCCAAAUACUUUAGACCACUAAUUAAUUUUGUUUUCUGAAACAUUCGUUAAUAUGUUCACAGAAAAUUGUGGCAUUCACUUUGGAAAAUAUAUCUGUUUAAGAACAGAUAAUGAAUACAUAACAAAUUUAGAACUGUGUUAAGAUUCCAUAACUAAAACCACUCUAAACUUUCUGAAAUGGCUGAAAACGUUUCCCUAACUUUUCUGAAAGUACUUGCUGGGCUUCUUGGAGACUGAAUCAUCCCUUUUGAGCCCACUUAGGGGAAAGUUCAAAAGACCUCAGAGAAGACAAAAAGCAGGGCAAGAGAGACGGCCCAGUCUUCUAGCUCUCCACUGGAGAAAAUGCAUGUGGGAAAGGCUGGGGGUUUCCAUCCUCAAUAUUUAGUAAAAGAUAAAGUAAAAAUUACAACUGCCUUCUGAAUGGCUCCCCUCCCCUGACUUCAUGGGAGUGAUGACUCAGCCCUCUGUUUUGUAACUGCGGAGAUUGAAAGUGGAGACGGGACCUUUGGCAUUUCAGAAAAUGUCGACGCCGCUUUCUUCUGCUUUCUCCGGGACCCCUCUGGGGCCUCGCCUCCUCCCCUCCCGCUGAAAGCCUGCUGUGAAAGGAGCAAGGAUGUGAAAAAGAUGUACGACUCUUUGCUUCCUUAUGCUCGGCCCAAGUUUAUCAAAAGCUGUGGAGUUUGCUAAAAUAAUCCAGGGAAUUCGCCUGGAAAUGGUUUUUUUUUUUUUUUUUGGUUGUUGUUUGUCUUCACUUGUUCCAAAGAAGCAAAAUAAGACAGGGGCUGCCCCUUGUCCUGUCUCAUUCAUUUUUGACACCCUUGUUUCUCCACACAGGCCCUGGGGUGAAGGGCACAGGUGGGAUUCAGAAUAGAAAUGACUCGAGGGACGCAAGGAGUUGGGAUCAGAAGAAGCAGCAGAAACUCCUGCUCUGCAGACACAGCAGACAUUACUGGGAAAGACACCAGAGACCCAGGAGUUCACCCAAGUCCUCUGCACACUGUCUUCCCAGCCCUCUCUCCUGGAUCUGAGAUGAUUUCACUUAAAAACACAAGCCUUUGCUUAAAGAGCGCAGGUAGCCACUUGCUCUCCCAGAGAGUGCUGCAGCGGUGAUGAUCGGUUUCCCCCCUCCCCACCUGCUCAGUCCUGCAAAGCCUGGACUCUGCUCCAAGGCCUUUGGGACCCAACACCUGCUUUCCAGCCUCAGGGCCUCAGGCCUGAGACCACAGGGGCUCUUCCCGGCGGCUGUACCUCCUGCCAUUCACCUGCUGAUUUCUUCCUCAUCUGUUUAUUCCUCUGAUCCAACAAGGUCAGGAUGGUAUGCAACCGCCACCCCCCCCCCACUGCCCCCACCACCACAGCACUGCCACGACCCUUGUCUGGGACGGAUGAUGUGGGGCUGCACUUCCUCUGUCGGCCCCCUGCCCUCGUCAGGAGGCCCAGCAUGUAGCAGGCAAGCAGCAGGCAGCAGGCAGGUGCUGAGUGGGUGUGGAAGGUGUGGCCCCUCACACCUCUGUGUCCUAUGCUCAGCGCUGUGCUUGGGCAUGGCGAGGCCUCAGCAGAUACUGUGCAGCACAGUGACACCAAUGGAACCCAGUAAAAAGACAGUUUCCAAUUUUCCUCGCUGCUGGGGCCCACCCAGAUCCUGGAGCAGAGCAUGGCCUGCAGGAAGCACAGGCUGGUGGACUGUGGCUGUGUCACGGCGAGCUUCCAGUGGCUCUCGCAGAACUCAAUUGGCACGGUAAAGGGACAAAUGAAGUUUCCAGCUUUUUUCUUUUAAUAGCUCAGAUAUCAAUUUUAUAGCUCUGAUGGACAUAAUUUAUAAAAUAAGUCUAUAUCUUACUGUAAAUUUGAGACGGUUAACCUUUAAUAAAGUUAAUAAGGGGCUUGUCAAAACUCCUGAGCUGAACUUUGCUUGCUCGUUACAUAAUAACAACGA